UCUCUUUCCAAACUGGAAAAAAAAAUCCAUGUUAAAGAAACAGUCGUUCAGAAACCUUCCUUUGAGAGUGGAAUUAUAAGAAUGAUUGAUCUUUACCUUAAAUUAAACUUUUAUGUUUUGCAAGAAAUUAAAAUACAGUUUAUAUAAAACGAAUCUCAUUUUUGAAAGCACAUACAGCUCCUAGAAAAAGUUGAAUACAACUUUUCUGUAUCCAAAUUCCAAGCCAGAAAAGUCUACAUAGAAAAUGCUUCUGGAUGCAGAGAUUCUAGACGGAAAUGGCCGCCUUCGCUGUGUGAUCUGAUAGAGUCUUUUUUAAAAAGAAAGAAUAUCAGACAAGGGCCACAUAUCUGUAUCCAUCGUAUGUCUAUUAUAUGUCAAUUUCAAUUAAUUACACCUUGACGUGAAAGAGGAAGUUUCCAACUAAUUCAUUUGCCCUUGUGUGGAAAAGUAAGCAACUUGAAACGUGUGACACGAUUCUUGUGUUUGCUCUAGAAGCCCACUUAAAUCCCAUGAAAACUCACCCACCAUUGCUAUCUUUGUUUAUAUAUAUUGUUUUUCUCUCUACAUAAGAUGACUGAGAUGGUGUCUCUUGCAACUCCACUUGCCUGUAUUAUCUUUCUGUCGGCUGGAAAUUAUAACUGAAGCCCAUGUUUCGUUGAAGACAGAAGGAUCAAGCAUGGGUAUGCCUAAGCCUUCUUCUACUCUGCUUCUGCUGUUGCUUAUAGUCACUGUUUCUGCAUCCCAGAAACAAAUAACAUCAGAAGCAAGGACACUUUUGUCCCAGAAACAGAAAUAUUCCAAGAUUUUUUCGACACUGGGAGUUGUUUGCAAGUGUUGUGAUGAAACUGGAGCUGAGUGCGCAACUACUUGGACGGGUUCUUGCCAUAAUCUCCAAUGUCUUCCAUGGAAGAUAUAGACUAGACUAGUCAGGGAUUUCCUUGCGUCUUCUCUUCUUAGCGGUUUUUGUACAUAUAUGUAGCCAUACUCGAUCAAUGAUUCAAGCAGCUUUCCAGCUUUGGCCA